rnacentral:rRNA from 1 species
UACAGAGGGUGCAAGCGUUAAUCGGAAUUACUGGGCGUAAAGCGUGCGUAGACAGUUAUUUAAGUCAGGUGUGAAAGCCCAGGGCUCAACCUUGGAAUUGCAUUUGAGACUGAAUAGCUAGGGUGCGGAAGAGGGAAGCGGAAUUUCCGGUGUAGCGGUGAAAUGCGUAGAUAUCGGAAGGAACACCAGUGGCGAAAGCGGCUUCCUGGUCCAGCACCGACGUCAGGCACGAAAGCGUGGGGAGCAAACAGG